GUGCUUAACACAUGCAAGUCGAACGGAAAGGUCUCCUCGGAGAUACUCGAGUGGCGAACGGGUGAGUAACACGUGGGCGAUCUGCCCUGCACUUCGGGAUAAGCCUGGGAAACUGGGUCUAAUACCGGAUAGGACCACGGGAUUCAUGUCCUGUGGUGGAAAGCUUUUGCGGUGUGGGAUGAGCCCGCGGCCUAUCAGCUUGUUGGUGGGGUAACGGCCUACCAAGGCGACGACGGGUAGCCGGCCUGAGAGGGUGUCCGGCCACACUGGGACUGAGAUACGGCCCAGACUCCUACGGGAGGCAGCAGUGGGGAAUAUUGCACAAUGGGCGCAAGCCUGAUGCAGCGACGCCGCGUGGGGGAUGACGGCCUUCGGGUUGUAAACCUCUUUCACCAUCGACGAAGGUUCGGGUUUUCUCGGAUUGACGGUAGGUGGAGAAGAAGCACCGGCCAACUACGUGCCAGCAGCCGCGGUAAUACGUAGGGUGCGAGCGUUGUCCGGAAUUACUGGGCGUAAAGAGCUCGUAGGUGGUUUGUCGCGU
rnacentral:rRNA from 1 species